AUUGAACGCUGGCGGCAUGCCUUACACAUGCAAGUCGAACGGUAACAGGUCUUCGGAUGCUGACGAGUGGCGAACGGGUGAGUAAUACAUCGGAACGUGCCUAGUAGUGGGGGAUAACUACUCGAAAGAGUGGCUAAUACCGCAUGAGAUCUACGGAUGAAAGCAGGGGAUCGCAAGACCUUGUGCUACUAGAGCGGCCGAUGGCAGAUUAGGUAGUUGGUGGGAUAAAAGCUUACCAAGCCGACGAUCUGAAGCUGGUCUGAGAGGACGAUCAGCCACACUGGGAAUGAGACACGGCCCAGACUCCUACGGGAGGCAGCAGUGGGGAAUUUUGGACAAUGGGCGCAAGCCUGAUCCAGCAAUGCCGCGUGCAGGAUGAAGGCCUUCGGGUUGUAAACUGCUUUUGUACGGAACGAAAAGCCCUGGGUUAAUACCCUGGGGUCAUGACGGUACCGUAAGAAUAAGCACCGGCUAACUACGUGCCAGCCGCCGCCGUAAAAC
rnacentral:rRNA from 1 species